rnacentral:rRNA from 1 species
ACUCCUGCGGGAGGCAGCAGUGGGGAAUUUUGGACAAUGGGCGAAAGCCUGAUCCAGCCAUGCCGCGUGCAGGAUGAAGGCCUUCGGGUUGUAAACUGCUUUUGUACGGAACGAAACGGCCUUUUCUAAUAAAGAGGGCUAAUGACGGUACCGUAAGAAUAAGCACCGGCUAACUACGUGCCAGCAGCCGCGGUAAUACGUAGGGUGCAAGCGUUAAUCGGAAUUACUGGGCGUAAAGCGUGCGCAGGCGGUUAUGUAAGACAGUUGUGAAAUCCCCGGGCUCAACCUGGGAACUGCAUCUGUGACUGCAUAGCUAGAGUACGGUAGAGGGGGAUGGAAGUCCGCGUGUAGCAGUGAAAUGCGUAGAUAUGCGGAGGAACACCGAUGGCGAAGGCAAUCCCCUGGACCUGUACUGACGCUCAUGCACGAAAGCGUGGGGAGCAAACAGGAUUAGAAACCCGGGUAGUCCCAUGAU